GAUGAACGCUGGCGGCGUGCCUAACACAUGCAAGUCGAGCGAAGCCCUUACUCUAGGUUUCUUCGGAAUGACGAAGGUUGUGACUGAGCGGCGGACGGGUGAGUAACGCGUGGGCAACCUGCCCUGUACAGGGGGAUAACAGCUAGAAAUGACUGCUAAUACCGCAUAAGCCCACAGCUUCGCAUGAAGCAGUGGGAAAAACUCCGGUGGGACAGGAUGGGCCCGCGUCGGAUCAGCUAGUUGGUAAUGUAACGGCUUACCAAGGCGACGAUCAGUAGCCGACGUGGGAGGGUGGCCGGACACAUUGGGAGUGGGACACGGCCCGGACUCCUACGGGAGGCAGCAGUGGGGGAUAUUGCACAGUGGGGGGAAGCCUGAUGCAGCGACGCCGCGUGAGCGAUGAAGUAUUUAGGGAAGUAAAGCUCUAUAAGCAGGGAAGAAAGUGACGGUACCGGAAGAAGAAGCCCCGGCUAACUACGUG
rnacentral:rRNA from 1 species